UGGAAGAAAUGGUGGUAAGAGAAUGGUUACACCAAACACCAUUGCUUUGUUCAAACUUGCCGUCUCAAGGUUACUUUUGGUUAAAAAUUAUUGUCACUGGACAGCUCAUCACAUCUAGUUUGGGCCUCAGUUCUUGACAAAUGAAUUUAGAAUCUGGAACAGACUAGCAUAUGCAGCAUCUUGCAAAGCCAAGCCCGUAGUCAGGAAAGGAAAUUUAAAUCAGUACAAUUCGAACAUGGUACAUGGAAUAGAAUACCCUGUAGCCAAUUUUUACUUUCUUCCCCAUGCCCCGCAGUAAUAACUUAGAUGGAACAUUCACUGUUGUCUAAUACACCUCAAACAUAUCGGACAUCACUGUAAAUUAUAAGGCACUGUUUUAUGUGAGGGUUUGGUCUGGAUGCAAUUGUACAUGUCUUUGAUUGUACAUUAAAUGAAUACUGCUGAAGUCAACAGAUUCAGAAUUACCUUCUGAUUAAGUAAUGGACCUUUAAAAAUUAGUGGAACAAUUGCAGAUCAGCUCUUCUGAGUAUUUGAAAGCAGGCCUUUAAAUCAGUGUUGGGUGUUUAACAAAAUUAAUAAAGGAUUCAUUUUAGAAAGAUCCUCGGCUGCAGGCAGCAAAACAGCUGGACUUAUUUAAAAUAUUUGUUUCUUUUUAUAUAUAUAUUAUAUAUAUAUUUGUAGAUUUUGCUUUUGCAUUAUUUGUGUGUCUGAUGCAGUAGCACUUUGAGAUAAAAUGUUACAGAGUGAAACAGCUGAUGCUAUCAACAAGGUCAACUUACUGCAGAAAAUUAUUUCAGCUGAUCUCAGCCAAAGCUCAAAAGAUCAUACAGUCCCAUUUCCCCCCCUCCCCACUUUCAGGUUCAUAUUUUGCAGUUGCGUGUUUUGCCAUUUUUCAGAUGUGUGUUUUAAAAUUGGAGUAUUUGAGUUUCUUUUUUAAAAAAGAAAUGGAAGAGCCAAUUCAUUUCUGUGCUUCUGAAAUGGAAAAAAGGUAUUUCAAAGUUAAUUGUACAAAACUGUUACAAUUACCUUGAUUUUUCAUGCAUUGAUUUCUUACGUCUUUAGUGAAAUUUAAAUCUGUCUUUCAUGGUAACUGUUCCACAGGAUUCAACUUAAAAUACAAUGCCUUUUCCUUUAUGCUAUAAGUGCUUAAUGUGGAUAAUCUGUUUAGAUAAAAAUGCCAGUCAUUUAUUAUAGAUAUCAGCAACUAAGGCCACUAUAUACUCUCUAUGAUUUAUGCCUAAACAAAUGUAUGCCAUUUUAUCCAGUAUUAGAAUAAUUCAUUGUCUCGACUACACCUGCACUGUUAAUGAUUAACUGCCCACUCCUUUGCAGGUUUAUUCAGAGGUAAGUCCCACUGUGUUCAGCAGUGAUCAUUCCUAGGUAUUGGGGCAUAAAAUUGCAGCCUGAUUUUACCAGCUUCUGCCACAAAUGGGCUGUCAUGGAAUCUGGCCAGCGUGGAGUGUGGCAUUGCUAGGGAAGAGAGCAAAACAUUCUGAGGAUAACUACAGUUUUUGAAGCCCUACAGAUGCCAGGGAUCAGAGAGCCACAAAUCAGCACUUCAUAAAGAGAAGUGCAGACAAUCCAGAGGAACUUGAGCAACUGUUUAUAUGAGCUCAGGCUGUUUGUCUACCUUGCCCAGCAGCAUCUAAUCUGAGUGGCAGCAACUCUCCAGGGUCUUUGGUGCAGAGAGGUCUGUGCAUUCACCUGCUACCUCCCUUCAGCCGUGGUUCAUUGGUAGAUCAUCUGCUUUGCAUGCAGAAUGUUCAAUCUCCAGGCAGGGCUGGCUGGCCGAAAGCCAGAAGAGCCACCACUAUUCAGUGUAAACAAUACUAAGCUACAUGGACCAAGGUUUGACUUGGUAUAAGGCAGUGUCCUAUGUUCUUAUGCACCUGCUCUUAAGAAGACAUGGCAGGGGUUGUACCUAGAAGGACCUUUUGCAUGUAAAGCAUGUGUUCUCGCAUUAAACUACCAAUCAGUUUCUGUCAAGAGACUACCCACUUUCCAAAUGUUUUUCUUUCUCAUAGCUGAAUUGUCUGCAGAUUUAGAAUCCUAAAUAUGGCUAGAUUUAGGUUUAAGAGACUUGGACUUUAUAAUUAGGCACUAAGAGUGCUGUACGCAUUCUCUUUGAUUUUUGUUGUUGUUAAAAAAUAUCCCCUUGGUGAUUUAAUUUUACAAGGCAUUGAUCAGGGCUCUUGAACACCUGAACAUCUUUCUAGGGUUGAACCAUUUCAGAAUGUGACAUCUUCUGAAUUGAUGCCAUCCCACGAACACGUAGGUCAAAUCUAUAUCAUUUUAUAUUGGGCUUGCCUAAGGAAGGAUAAGAGUAGUUACUAGGGGAGGUAGUAAGCUCAGUUUUUCUGCAUGCCUCUUGGAGUGUAAUGAAAUGUGAUAGCUAAUAUUUGGAAGGGGGCGUCUGUGAAACUCCAGAUUUUUCAUAGGAUUUUCCCUUCUGUUGAAUUCCUGCUUCUUGGACCUCAGUCUCAUGCUGAUUUUAGAGUGGUCAAAUGCAAAAGAGAACAAGGCUGCUGGACCUUUAAUGCCUGUGCAGAAGAGGGAACUUCGCAUGUGUGGGAAAUGUCAUUGCUCCAGAUGUUGCAGACCUGCAACUCCCAUCAGCCCCAUCAAACAUGGGCAAUGGCCAGAGACGAUGGUAACUGUGGAUCAACAACAUCUGGAGGGCCAAAGGUUCCCGCAGCUGAGCUACAACUGCCUAAUUCCCUCUCCUACACAGCUGUUAAAGGUGCAGGAGCCCUGUUUUGCAUCUGAGUCACCUGCCUUAACAGUGGGAAGGCUCAAAGUACAUCUUCUAUAGGAGGCAUUUCCCAGGGGUGCAUUUCGAAAAGCAUUCCAAACUGGCCACUGCCAGAGACAGAUUGUAAGGAUUAAGUCCACCUAGCUCCACAGAAUAACCUGCACAGUCAACUGCUCACAUACUUAAACACAUGGAGAAGGGUUUUGGUUUUCUAAAAACUGGAAAUGGGGCCAGGAAGCUGAUGGUCUAUUAAGAGCUGAAAGUGAACUGGAUCACUACUUUGCAGCAUGUGAAAAAACAUUUUCUAUCUUCAUGUAUAGCCAAAUUAACUAAAUAUUAGAAUUCCUGAAAGAAAAGUUCCCUAUUUAAAGAAUUUAUUUUUUUUAAAUGUUGCUCUCUAAGAGAUGUUUGGGUAUUCCCUUUUGUAAAAUAUAAAUGUAUUUGAAACUGUUAUAAUGACCGGAUAAUGGUGAAUAAUUAGGAACUCAUUUUUAUUUAAAUGCAUUGCACAAUCCAGACACACCCAUGAAGCUGAAUCAGUACAUGUUAAAGCAUUUUAAAUCAGUUUUUGCUUCAUCUGAGAUUAACUGGCUUUACCAUUCCUUUUUAUUGCAGCUACUUUUGGCUUUACCAGCAGAGAUCCUAAACAUACUUGUUAGGAAAACAAAUCCCACUGUUUUCAGUGGGGCUUAAUUUUUGCCCUGGAAAUAACUUUCCCCCACAUUUUAACGCAGUUGUGCAAAUAGAUCUUAUUUAUUCCCGUGUACUUAGAUUUUUAUAAACUGGUUAAACUGAUCUUCCACAGGUGUCCCACAAUCAAAAAUAACAGGUAUUUAUAAUAUUUGUUAUAUUUGUUACUUUUUCCCAGAUGACAUUCAUUGCUCAACAAAACUUUGUUUAUAACAUUUUAUUUUAUAAGGCUUGUUGUGCCUUGCAACCUUUUCUAUUUAAAAAAAAAAUGUUGGUCAAUACUAUCCCAUCAUCAUUUUUUGUUUCAUAUAUAUCAAAGGGUGCAUCAGGAGAAUGUUAAUUGUAUUUCUGUAUGUAAAUAGGUUUUAAAGGCAUCAUAGAAACAUAUUGUUAAAGCUUGUAUUUGACAUUUUUCAUUCGCUACAUCUUUGCUGAACUUGCCUUUGCUAAAUACUGUAGGAAACUUGUUUUAUUUCCAACUUAAUUAUUUUAGGUUUUGAGAUUAACUAUUUUAGUUACUUUUGUCAACAGUUAACAGCAUGGUUUUGUGUGGCACAUCAAAAUCUCUUCUUUUUUUGUUGUAGAAGAAAAUGUGCAAACAACUGUGGGUUAUUUGUGGUAUUCUGGAGUGAACAGAUACAAAUUCAGGAAAAAAAGUGUUUCAGUAAGAAAUGACUGUGUGGUAAAUCUCAUGGGUAAACACAAUGGAAACAGGGCCAUUUUGGAACAUAUAUUUGGAUCCGUGAGUUUAGCAUUUUGUGGGUGUAUUUACAAUCAACUUGUCCUGCAUAUUGGAAUUGCCACAUCAUCUCCUGUCGUAUGGAUCACUUUCAGAAGGGAGAUUUUUUCCUCUCUCCAAGCGAUAGCAGUUUUCUCUAGGAAGAGAACAGGAGCCUAUUUCUCCGCACUCCACCAUGUCUUGUUUAGAUAAUAGUAUCUGAGUAGGCACUUCCUCUAUGUUACAAGGUCAGUGUGUCCAGGAGAAUUCAUUGUGACUAGCAUGCAGAGCAGCUGGACUGCUGCAUUCGUUCUCAUGGAAACUUGCUUUCUUUGUACCACAAGUUCUUCUGUACAUUCAAUAUUAUAAUUAGUGUGAAUGACAAAUAAAACUGUUUGAGAAGUAUACAA
rnacentral:lncRNA from 1 species